rnacentral:rRNA from 1 species
GCCCUGCGCUCUGGGAUAGCCACCGGAAACGGUGAUUAAUACCGGAUAGGACCACUUCACGCAUGUGAUGGUGGUGGAAAGUUUUUUCGGCGCAGGAUGUGCUCGCGGCCUAUCAGCUUGUUGGUGAGGUAACGGCUCACCAAGGCUUUGACGGGUAACCGGCCUGAGAGGGUGACCGGUCACACUGGGACUGAGACACGGCCCAGACUCCUACGGGAGGCAGCAGUGGGGAAUAUUGGACAAUGGGCGGAAGCCUGAUCCAGCAACGCCGCGUGAGGGAUGACGGCCUUCGGGUUGUAAACCUCUUUCAGUACCGACGAAGCGAAAGUGACGGUAGGUACAGAAGAAGGACCGGCCAACUACGUGCCAGCAGCCGCGGUAAUACGUAGGGUCCGAGCGUUGUCCGGAAUUAUUGGGCGUAAAGGGCUCGUAGGCGGUUUGUCGCGUCGGGAGUGAAAACACCGGGCUUAACUCGGUGCUUGCUUUCGAUACGGGCAGACUAGA